UCAUUGAGAUUAUGUCGAUGAAAUGCGCCCAAAUUUUCUCGGUGUGUGAAGAUUAAUACCAAUAAAGCAGCUGAAAUGUUUCAAAAUACCUACCAGCAAAAUCUCUCUCGUCGCCUUUCAUCACGGUCAAGGUUACACAUACUGAAGCCUUGACCAUCGAAACUCAUCACAGGCUACGAACAAUGCAGCCCCAUUGUACCACUAUCGAAGCCGGCGUGCGGUCGCAUGAGCAAUGAUCCAAAAGUUUACCAAAAAGUGCAUGCUCCGAAGUGAACUAAGUGUUCAAUAGUGCGAUUAAACACUCCGUUAUCGGUGAGAACGUCAAAUACUUGCAGCAUCCAACAGUUUGGCCCUGAUCCACGUACUCAAGAGGGAUCUAAUUCUACUAGGGCGAACAAUAGAGGUAAUUCAAACAAUGUUUGCCAAGCUACCCAUCCCUAAUUGUGCUCUACUAGGUGUCAUUGCAUGAUCGACGAGUUAUCAGACGCCAGGUGGAUGGUUCAAAAUCCGGUUUACCGUAGAUUAUCCCAGAGCACGGACACUGCCAAUAAUAGCAGCAUCAAAUUCGACCUGGACCGUUUUGUGGCAGAAGUCCCACUCAAGACAGCAUAAAAAGGCCUUCAUCAGGUAAAACGACCCAUCAAUGCAAUUUCCUAUCGAUGGGCUAACGCCAAUCGCCUCAAGAGGGAUCUAAUUCUACUAGGGCGAACAAUAGAGGUAAUUCAAACAAUGUUUGCCAAGCUACCCAUCCCUAAUUGUGCUCUACUAGGUGUCAUUGCAUGAUCGACGAGUUAUCAGACGCCAGGUGGAUGGUUCAAAAUCCGGGUUACCGUAGAUUAUCCCAGAGCACGGACACUGCCAAUAAUAGCAGCAUCAAAUUCGACCUGGACCGUUUUGUGGCAGAAGUCCCACUCAAGACAGCAUAAAAAGGCCUUCAUCAGAGGGCCUUUUAUUUGCAGGCUCAAAUAGGCACUGCACUCCACGCGACGUUCUCAUCGCUCAGCACCCCAGCUACCUGCACGCUCUCCGUCAGUCGGUCAAAUUCUGGGAGGAAGGUCCUACACGAGUGCCAGUCGAGAGAGAUCAUGACCAAAUUGCAUCAAAGGUGCAUCCACCUGCGACAACAUUGAGCAGGCAGCGCGACAACCCGCACGUACAACUUGUUGCAACCCUAGUGCGACUGGGACGUGCUACAUUCUCGAGCUCUCAACAACGGUGUGACAAGCCACGGUGGCCGUAUCACCAACAGUUGUAGCGCGACAGCCGCGGUGCAGCAAAGUGCAACGCAGCGAUCGGGUGAAGGCCUUCCUGGUCGUGUAGCACCCGGUGGUGUGCGACGAAGCCAACGUGGAGCAGAAUGCAUCGAUGGUAGCAGCACGGGGCCCCCAACGAUACUGUUAGUGAGUAGCAAUGAGAACCUAGCAUAAGCUUGAAACAUUGUACCGGUAGAUCGAAGGUUUGCGAAAAUAGAAGUAUGAGAUGUUAAAUGUUACGUUCCAUGGUAGCUCUAAUUUCUACCUUGCCGUUAUCUUUUGAUUGAGUCAUUUUUUUUGGUUCCAUCGGCGCUAGUGCACUAUGCAAACAGUGGCUAGCCGGCCUUAUCCGUCAAUCUGAACCAAGAGUUUUAUUAGAAGGUGCACCGACGCCGGGAGGACCACUUUCUGUUUGUAGUACUGUUGGUCAUAUAUUCCAUUGAGGCACUACCCGAGUUUUAAAGCGUUGUAUCCUUCUCGAAGCUUUUCCCCUCGGGAGUUGGCAAAUUAAACACAAUAAGGGAAAAUUGUUACAAGAUUUGCGAA
rnacentral:lncRNA from 1 species